rnacentral:tRNA from 1 species
GGGGGGAUUGGCCGGCUGCUCAGGCCGCCUUGACCGGAGGCAGGGCGGAGGCGGCCAUCAGGUGAGGGGUCGUUCGGGUCGACCAUCCUCGUG